rnacentral:rRNA from 1 species
UACGGAAGGGGCAAGCGUUGUCCGGAAUUAUUGGGCGUAAAGAGCUCGUAGGCGGUUUGUUGCGUCGGCUGUGAAAUCCCGAGGCUCAACCUCGGGUCUGCAGUCGAUACGAGCAAACUAGAGUGUUGCAGGGGAGACUGGAAUUCCUGGUGUAGCGGUGAAAUGCGCAGAUAUCAGGAGGAACACCGGUGGCGAAGGCGGGUCUCUGGGCAACAACUGGCGCUGAGGAGCGAAAGCGUGGGGAGCGAACAGG